UACGUAGGGGGCAAGCGUUGUCCGGAUUUAUUGGGCGUAAAGAGCGUGUAGGCGGCCAGACAGGUCCGUUGUGAAAACUCGAGGCUCAACCUCGAGACGCCGAUGGAAACCGUUUGGCUAGAGUCCGGAAGAGGAGAGUGGAAUUCCUGGUGUAGCGGUGAAAUGCGCAGAUAUCAGGAAGAACACCCGUGGCGAAGGCGGCUCUCUGGAACGCAACUGACGCUGAGACGCGAAAGCGUGGGGAGCAAACAGG
rnacentral:rRNA from 1 species